ACGGUCGCAAGACUGAAACUCAAAGGAAUUGACGGGGACCCGCACAAGCAGUGGAGUAUGUGGUUUAAUUCGAAGCAACGCGAAGAACCUUACCAGGUCUUGACAUCCCUCUGACCGGUCUAGAGAUAGGCCUUUCCUUCGGGACAGAGGAGACAGGUGGUGCAUGGUUGUCGUCAGCUCGUGUCGUGAGAUGUUGGGUUAAGUCCCGCAACGAGCGCAACCCUUAUGCUUAGUUGCCAGCAGGUCAAGCUGGGC
rnacentral:rRNA from 1 species